GCUAACUGCUAACCGAUAACUGCUAACCUUUUGCUCUUCCUGACGUUCGUGUCGUCCUGCUCCGGUGAGUCGGCCGGCUCAGCCGCGCUCUGAUUGGCUUUCCCCGCCUUGAGACGCCGGCUCCGCCUCCCGAAGCGCUUCCUCAGCGAGGUGGAGAUCAAGGCGUGGCGAGGGCGAGAGACACCUGGAGACAGACAGACAGACGAGAGCACAACAUUUCUUCAAUGCGCCUGCCUAUUCGACAGUGGUAUGGCCUUCAGUCAAUCUGCCUCCGAUUGAUCUAUAACCUGUCCGACCAGGUUCAUUGCUGCAGGUAAGAGAAGCUCUUCCGCUAUUGUGUGGUGUUUCUUGGCCUUUGCAAUACGGUGAGCUACGUUGUGGGAUGCACCGAGUGCCUGUUCGUGUUUGGAACAUGACGUCAGGCACUUCUGUGAUGCCCCGUUCAGGGAGUUGUCCUCAAAAGUACUCGACCGGGUUGUCUUUGCACAUGGGAUGUUUUGUUUCUAAAUGACAAAUCAUUUUGAUGGUUUCAUGCUCUCUUCUGCGAGCACUACACUCCAUACCACACACUGGGGUUUUGGCCCCUUUUUAUCUUCGAUGUACGUAAAUCCAUAUUUGACAUACCAGGGGUCAUAUUUGCGCUUCGCCAUAUUUAAUUACUGCCCAGACAGCCAGCCAAUCCCAUGGCUGCUGUACGUCUUUCACGCACGUCUGUAAAAAUAAAAGAUAGCCUAAUCACUGGAACUAUUUUUAGCUUCUCUCUUGUUAACUUAGUUACUCUAUGGAAUAACUGCGAUGAUGAUCUGAAAAAAUUGACAUUAAAACUAAAAAAACUCUUCAGAAACAAAAUAUUGAAUUGUUAUAAACUGAGAGACAGUGACAAUGAAUUUCUGUAUUGCUAUUUCUUGUUUGAUAGUUUUGGUUAAUCUGUUCCAAUAUUUUGUUAUUGUUUUGUCAAAAAGCUUUGCUUUGUUUUAACCUACGAGCUGAACAUCAUAGACACUGAUUGAUUCAAACUGAAUAUUUAUUUUCUGUGAAUAAUUAUAAAAAGAUAAGAGGCCCAGACCAUCCUAUUCCUUUUGAACAUGAACUGUUUUAUUUGAG
ensembl:lncRNA